rnacentral:rRNA from 1 species
UACGUAGGGUGCGAGCGUUGUCCGGAAUUAUUGGGCGUAAAGGGCUCGUAGGCGGUUUGUCGCGUCGGGAGUGAAAACACACAGCUUAACUGUGUGCUUGCUUCCGAUACGGGCAGACUAGAGGUAUGCAGGGGAGAACGGAAUUCCUGGUGUAGCGGUGAAAUGCGCAGAUAUCAGGAGGAACACCGGUGGCGAAAGCGGCUUCCUGGUCCAGCACCGACGUUCAGGCACGAAAGCGUGGGGAGCAAACAGG